rnacentral:rRNA from 1 species
UUCCAGACUCCUACGGGAGGCAGCAGUGGGGAAUAUUGCACAAUGGGGGAAACCCUGAUGCAGCGACGCCGCGUGAGCGAUGAAGUAUUUCGGUAUGUAAAGCUCUAUCAGCAGGGAAGAAGAUGACGGUACCUGACUAAGAAGCCCUGGCUAACUACGUGCCAGCAGCCGCGGUAAUACGUAGGGGGCAAGCGUUAUCCGGAUUUACUGGGUGUAAAGGGAGCGUAGACGGCGAUGCAAGCCAGAUGUGAAAGCCCGGGGCUCAACCCCGGGACUGCAUUUGGAACUGUGUGGCUGGAGUGUCGGAGAGGCAGGCGGAAUUCCUAGUGUAGCGGUGAAAUGCGUAGAUAUUAGGAGGAACACCAGUGGCGAAGGCGGCCUGCUGGACGAUGACUGACGUUGAGGCUCGAAAGCGUGGGGAGCAAACAGGAUUAGAUACCCUUGUAGUA